CAACCUACCUAUCAGAGGGGAAUAACCCGGCGAAAGUCGGACUAAUACCGCAUAAAACAGGGGUUCCACAUGGAAAUAUUUGUUAAAGAAAUUCGCUGAUAGAUGGGCAUGCGUUCCAUUAGGUAGUUGGUGAGGUAACGGCUCACCAAGCCGACGAUGGAUAGGGGAACUGAGAGGUUGGUCCCCCACACUGGUACUGAGACACGGACCAGACUCCUACGGGAGGCAGCAGUGAGGAAUAUUGGUCAAUGGGCGAGAGCCUGAACCAGCCAAGUCGCGUGAAGGAAGAAGGAUCUAUGGUUCGUAAACUUCUUUUGCAGGGGAAUAAAGUGCAGGGCGUGUCCUGUUUUGUAUGUACCCUGAGAAUAAGGAUCGGCUAACUCCGUGCCAGCAGCCGCGGUAAUACGGAGGAUCCGAGCGUUAUCCGGAUUUAUUGGGUUUAAAGGGUGCGUAGGUGGUUUGAUAAGUCAGCGGUGAAAGUUUGCAGCUUAACUGUAAAAAUGCCGUUGAAACUGUCGGACUUGAGUGUAAAUGAGGUAGGCGGAAUGCGUGGUGUAGCGGUGAAAUGCAUAGAUAUCACGAAGAACUCCGAUUG
rnacentral:rRNA from 1 species